AUGAAGCUCGUCAGGUUUCUGAUGAAAUUGAACAACGAAACCGUAUCAAUCGAGCUCAAGAACGGCACAAUUGUUCAUGGCACCAUCACAGGUGUUGAUAUUAGUAUGAACACACAUUUGAAAACAGUUAAACUAACACUGAAGGGGAAAAACCCAGUGACUCUGGAUCACCUCAGUGUGAGGGGUAACAACAUUCGCUAUUAUAUCCUUCCCGACAGCUUGAAUCUUGAGACUUUGCUGGUUGAAGAGGCACCUAGGGUCAAGCCUAAGAAGCCAACUGCUGGGAAGCCUUUGGGGCGUGGACGCGGUCGAGGGCGUGGACGCGGUCGUGGCCGUGGUCGUUAA